UCAGGCCUAACACAUGCAAGUCGAGCGCGCCUUCGGGUGAGCGGCGGACGGGUUAGUAACGCGUGGGAACGUGCCCUUCUCUACGGAAUAGCCUCUGGAAACGGAGAGUAAUACCGUAUACGCCCUUUGGGGGAAAGAUUUAUCGGAGAAGGAUCGGCCCGCGUUAGAUUAGGUAGUUGGUGGGGUAACGGCCUACCAAGCCUACGAUCUAUAGCUGGUUUUAGAGGAUGAUCAGCAACACUGGGACUGAGACACGGCCCAGACUCCUACGGGAGGCAGCAGUGGGGAAUCUUAGACAAUGGGGGCAACCCUGAUCUAGCCAUGCCGCGUGAGUGAUGAAGGCCUUAGGGUCGUAAAGCUCUUUCGCCUGUGAUGAUAAUGACAGUGGCAGGUAAAGAAACCCCGGCUAACUCCGUGCCAGCAGCCGCGGUAAUACGGAGGGGGUUAGCGUUGUUCGGAAUUACUGGGCGUAAAGCGCGCGUAGGCGGAUUAGAAAGUUGGGGGUGAAAUCCCGGGGCUCAACCUCGGAACUGCCUCCAAAACUGCUAGUCUAGAGUUCGAGAGAGGUGAGUGGAAUUCCGAGUGUAGAGGUGAAAUUCGUAGAUAUUCGGAGGAACACCAGUGGCGAAGGCGGCUCACUGGCUCGAUACUGACGCUGAGGUGCGAAAGUGUGGGGAGCAAACAGGAUUAGAUACCCUGG
rnacentral:rRNA from 1 species